UACGGAGGGAGCUAGCGUUGUUCGGAAUUACUGGGCGUAAAGCGCGCGUAGGCGGCUUUGUAAGUUAGAGGUGAAAGCCCGGGGCUCAACCCCGGAACUGCCUUUAAGACUGCAUCGCUUGAAUCCGGGAGAGGUGAGUGGAAUUCCCAGUGUAGAGGUGAAAUUCGUAGAUAUUGGGAAGAACACCAGUGGCGAAGGCGGCUCACUGGCCCGCAACUGACGCUGAGGCGCGAAAGCGUGGGGAGCAAACAGG
rnacentral:rRNA from 1 species